UGGGGAAUAUUGCACAAUGGGCGAAAGCCUGAUGCAGCGACGCCGCGUGAGGGAUGACGGCCUUCGGGUUGUAAACCUCUUUCAGCAGGGACGAAGCGCAAGUGACGGUACCUGCAGAAGAAGCACCGGCUAACUACGUGCCAGCAGCCGCGGUAAUACGUAGGGUGCAAGCGUUGUCCGGAAUUACUGGGCGUAAAGAGUUCGUAGGCGGUUUGUCGCGUCGUUUGUGAAAACCAGCAGCUCAACUGCUGGCUUGCAGGCGAUACGGGCAGACUUGAGUACGGCAGGGGAGACUGGAAUUCCUGGUGUAGCGGUGAAAUGCGCAGAUAUCAGGAGGAACACCGGUGGCGAAGGCGGGUCUCUGGGCAGUAACUGACGCUGAGGAACGAAAGCGUGGGUAGCGAACAGG
rnacentral:rRNA from 2 species